AAUCUUCCACAAUGGGGGCAACCCUGAAGCAGCGACGCCGCGUGAGGGAUGACGGCCUUCGGGUUGUAAACCUCUUUCAGCAGGGACGAAGCGAAAGUGACGGUACCUGCAGAAGAAGCACCGGCCAACUACGUGCCAGCAGCCGCGGUAAUACGUAGGGGGCAAGCGUUGUCCGGAUUUAUUGGGCGUAAAGCGCUCGCAGGUGGUGCGCUGCGUCGUGCGUGAAAGACCCCGGCUCAACUGGGGGAUGUCGUGCGAUACGGGCGGACUGGAGGCCAGUAGGGGGAUGCGGAAUUCCGGGUGUAGUGGUGGAAUGCGUAGAGAUCCGGAGGAACACCAGCGGCGAAGGCGGCAUCCUGGACUGGUCCUGACACUCAGGAGCGAAAGCGUGGGGAGCGAU
rnacentral:rRNA from 1 species